CUAGGGAGACUCAGAAUCCAGAAUCAGUCCACGAGGCUGGAUGUCUCAUAACCACAGUGUGAUGCUGAAGGUCUGGAGGAUGCAGCCCACGUUGGAAGCCGGAGGAAGCCUGAUCUAAUCACGGAAGGAAUGUAGCAAUAGCAGCAUCAAGGUUAUUUCAUCGCGGCAGCAGAAAUGAAACUAAUACAGUGAGGCAAAGGGAGAAGACCAGACACAGCAAAGGACCAAUCUGUGAAAAACCAAACCCUCAAAAAACAAAACAAGAGUGUUUGGUGUGGUUGGAACAAAACUUCAAUCCCAACACUCCGGGAGGCGGAGGCAACGAGAGUUCUGUGAGUUCAAGGCCAGUCUGGUCUACAGAGCAAAUUCCAGGGAAGGCAAGGCUGUGUAAUGAGAUCCUAAGAAAUAAAAUAGACUAACAAAAUCCA